AAUAGAUACCCGGGUAGUCCACGCCGUAAACGGUGAGUGCUAAGCGUUAGAGGGUUUCCGCCCUUUAGUGCUGCAGCUAACGCAUUAAGCACUCCGCCUGGGGAGUACGGUCGUAAGACUGAAACUCAAAGGAAUUGCCGGGGGCCCGCACAAGCGGUGGAGCAUGUGGUUUAAUUCGAAGCAACGCGAAGAACCUUACCAGGUCUUGACAUCCUCUGACAACUCUAGAGAUAGAGCGUUCCCCUUCGGGGGACAGAGUGACAGGUGGUGCAUGGUUGUCGUCAGCUCGUGUCGUGAGAUGUUGGGUUAAGUCCCGCAACGAGCGCAACCCUUGAUCUUAGUUGCCAGCAUUUAGUUGGGCACUCUAAGGUGACUGCCGGUGACAAACCGGAGGAAGGUGGGGAUGACGUCAAAUCAUCAUGCCCCUUAUGACCUGGGCUACACACGUGCUACAAUGGAUGGUACAAAGGGCUGCAAGACCGCGAGGUCAAGCCAAUCCCAUAAAACCAUUCUCAGUUCGGAUUGUAGG
rnacentral:rRNA from 1 species